GAUGAACGCUGGCUACAGGCUUAACACAUGCAAGUCGAGGGGAAACGGCAUUGAGUGCUUGCACUGAAUGGACGUCGACCGGCGCACGGGUGAGUAACGCGUAUCCAACCUUCCCGUUACUGCGGGAUAACCUGCCGAAAGGCAGACUAAUACCGCAUGUUCUUCGAUGACGGCAUCAGAUUCGAAGCAAAGAUCCGUCGGUAACGGAGGGGGAUGCGUCUGAUUAGCUUGUUGGCGGGGCGACGGCCCACCAAGGCGACGAUCAGUAGGGGUUCUGAGGGGAAGGUCCCCCACAUUGGAACUGAGACACGGUCCAAACUCCUACGGGAGGCAGCAGUGAGGAAUAUUGGUCAAUGGGCGGAAGCCUGAACCAGCCAAGUAGCGUGCAGGAUGACGGCCCUACGGGUUGUAAACUGCUUUUAUGCGGGGAUAAAGUGAGGGACGCGUCCCUUUUUGCAGGUACC
rnacentral:rRNA from 1 species